CCUACGGGAAGCAGCAGUGAGGAAUAUUGGUCAAUGGACGAGAGUCUGAACCAGCCAAGUAGCGUGAAGGAUGACUGCCCUAUGGGUUGUAAACUUCUUUUAUAUGGGAAUAAAAUGUUCCACGUGUGGGAUUUUGUAUGUACCAUAUGAAUAAGGAUCGGCUAACUCCGUGCCAGCAGCCGCGGUAAUACGGAGGAUCCGAGCGUUAUCCGGAUUUAUUGGGUUUAAAGGGAGCGUAGGUGGAUUGUUAAGUCAGUUGUGAAAGUUUGCGGCUCAACCGUAAAAUUGCAGUUGAAACUGGCAGUCUUGAGUACAGUAGAGGUGGGCGGAAUUCGUGGUGUAGCGGUGAAAUGCUUAGAUAUCACGAAGAACUCCGAUUGCGAAGGCAGUUCACUGGACUGCAACUGACACUGAGGCUCGAAAGUGUGGGUAUCAAACAGGAUUAGAUACCCGUGUAGUC
rnacentral:rRNA from 1 species